rnacentral:lncRNA from 1 species
UAUAUAUAUAUAUAUAUAUAGAGUGAGACUACUAUGCUAUCGGAAGCACGGAGUCUUCCGUGCUUCCAGCUCGUUUUCGAUGUUGCGACUUUCGAAUCGUCGAUCGGCUCCGUUAAAUUUGAUCUAGAGUAUUUGAAGUAUCUAGGAAAUAAAUUUUAUGAUUUUACGAUAUUAUUUGCCUAGUGAACGAAGGGGCUCAAAAUCAACGGUUGAAAAUAAAAAUCUUACAAAAUGUAAUAAUAUGACAUUAAAAUUUUAAAUCAAAGAUAUUGAUCUUGUUUUAUAUAGUAUAAAGAAUUUUCUAUCAAAAUUUCACGUGAUUUGGAUAUUUCUACACCGUUAAACUUGCAAACGGCUCACUACGGCCAUUGAAAUUUGUUGAUUUUGAGCCCAUUCGAUCACUAGGCAAAUGAUAUCGAAAAAUAAUAAAAUUUAUUUUCUAGAUACCCCAAAUACUCAAGAUCAAGUUUAACGGAGCCGAUCGACGAUUCGAAAGUCGCAACAUCGAAAACGAGCUGGAAGCACGAAAGGCUCCGUGCUUCCGAUAGCAUAGUAGCCUGACUCAUAUAUAUAUAUAUAUAUAUAUAUAUAUAUAUAGAACUAGGCUACUAUGCUAUUAAUAGCACCAAGUCAUUGGUGCUACCAAGUUUUUGG